rnacentral:rRNA from 1 species
UACGUAGGGGGCUAGCGUUGUCCGGAAUCAUUGGGCGUAAAGCGCGUGUAGGCGGCCCGGUAAGUCCGCUGUGAAAGUCGGGGGCUCAACCCUCGGAUGCCGGUGGAUACUGUCGGGCUCGAGUACGGAAGAGGAGAGUGGAAUUCCUGGUGUAGCGGUGAAAUGCGCAGAUAUCAGGAGGAACACCGAUGGCGAAGGCAGCUCGCUGGGACGGUACUGACGCUGAGGCGCGAAAGCGUGGGGAGCAAACAGG